CCUUUCUACUCAAAACACGCGUGUUCCCCUUUCCCUCUCCAGCCGAAAUCCUUCCCAUUCGAAAAAAGUGUGUUCAGCAGUCGUCGUUCGCUUUCAACGCCUAUCCGUUCGCCUUCAACGUCUGUCCGUUCGAUUUCACCGUCGAGUUCCACCUCUUCGAAUCCCUCACGUCCGUCGUUUCAAAGUCCUUCGUCCGCUGCAUUCCAUCUUUCCAAAAUCCCUCAGUGCCUCACGCUACUGCGUGCCCGUCAUUUCGACUUCACCAACGAGUGCCUCACGUUCGUUGCUUCAAAAUCCAUCAUCCACUAAGUUGAGGUACUUGUAUUCAUCUGUUCUUGGUUCGAAGGAAACUAUACAGUAUGUCUUUGUAGAUCCAUCCCUCACCUCUGUCGGACACUCGCAAGAAUCUCGAGUUCGACACUUAUGCAGUAGAUUGAUGGUCUCAAAGAUUAACGAAAUAGUUCUUGCUCCUUUUAAUCCUGGGUAAGUCAAGUUAUUUUAUUACUUGCAUUGCAAAAAACUAGUACUAAUAUUUUGUAUAAUUAGGGGUCAUUGGGCACUGCUGGCCAUAAAUGCAUAUGAUGAUAUAGUAUUUUACCUCGACUCACUAAGGACAACAUCGAAGUCAACUAUAAGAUACGUCACCGACACGUAAGUUAAUCUAGUAUUUCAUUUAGUGUUGAUUCUUAUAUGCAUGUACACAAUAUUUAAACUAUUUGUUCAAUCUUAUCUUGUCAAAACAGAGCAAUAGCGAUGUUUCAGUCACAAAAGAACAUUAAAAAAAGUAGAAAACAAACUUUAUGGCUAACAGUAAAGGUAAGUAUCAACUUUUAAAGUCAUUAAAUUUUUGUAGACUACUAGCAAUUAGGAUUACUUUGUUAUUCAAAUUUGUUGCUUUUAUAUAGUGUCCA